rnacentral:lncRNA from 1 species
GAGCAAUGUCCUGGGAGGCCUGGCUGAGCUUGUGUCCAGGAGCACUGGACUUGUGUUAAACACUGUCCCCUUGGAUGGGCCCAGAAGUCAAACCUGUCCAUUAGAUUUUUUUUUUUUUUCCUUUGGGAGAGCUGGUAUGGGCUGGUUGUCCUCCAGGAGAGCCCUGUUCUCACCCGAGGUCUGUUAAUGAGCUGGGGACAGGUGAGCCUCACACGUUCCAACUUGGCUGCCUUCAGCGGCAUCCAGGAGCAGUGGUGAGCUAUUAAUGGAAGGUGCCGGCUUUGUGCUAAUUAGAACUUCCUUUCAGCUUCCAUCUGUGCAGACACUGGAGCCCCUCACUGGUCAGCCUCGCCGUCCCAACCCCCCUCAGUUUGCAACCUAGUUUUUGUCCCCCCCACCCCCCAUGAAUUAGGGGGUGCUAUGAGUGGAGCUGCUUUCCUCUAGCUCUGGUCAAAUCCCGGCUCUUUGUGUAUUGCAGAACUGUACUGGGUGGUAUUUCUCAGGGCUUCUCUCUCUUGUUGGGGUGGAGAUGGACCUGGAAGAUGGAGUUGGAAAGGGAUUUGGGCACCAUGGCCACCCUCCUGGGUAGGCUGGACUUACAUCAUCGACCUGAGUUUGUUUUGUGAAAGACCUCUCUCCUCUGCCCUCUGGAGACUGUGACUUCAGACCCUUGUCCUCUCCAUUACCCCAGUCCUGAUGUCUCCCAAGUCUGAUGGUACCCACCCAUGUCAACUACAGCUGCCAUCUUUGCCAUCUCAGGCAGCCUACAGGUGGGGGCUGUGUCCUUGACCCUCUUCUGAAAAAGAAAAACCUAUUUUUUUCCUUCACUUUUGCUUUUUAUUUCUUUCACCUCAGGCCCAAUGGAUAUAUAUAUAUAUAUAUAUAUAUAUACAUAUAUAUAUAUACAUAUAUACAUAUAUAUAUAUAUAUAUAUAUAUAUAUUUUAAUGGAGGUUGUCUCUUACAGAGGUUUCAUUGAAAAAGAAGAAACAAUGUCCCAUUAACGUCAUUUAAAGAAAAAGCACCUCUCAGAAUGGAGGUUGGGAAAGCUAGGGUUUCUUGCCUGAAUAUCAGUUGGGAUGAAAUCCCUUGUAAGGAACUCAAGAGAGGAGCGUUUCCUCAGAAUGCUUUCUUUAGCUCCUGAGUCUCCUUAGGUCUCCACUGGGGUUGUGUGUAAAAAUACCAAGCCCUCCCUGACAAUGCAUCUCAUUCUCUUCUGCUUGAAUUAUCCUGAUAAUGAGAGAUCACCCACUUCUUUGACAGUGUAGACUAGGAUUUUAAAAAUUGGGAGUGAAUUAUUGGACAGUGUGGCACUUCACCAGCUUCCCUCAAGGUUCUGGAUCUAUGCUAAAGAGGGGUGGAAAUGCUUCUGGGGUGUCCAGAAGGGCUGCAGAAAUUCCUCGUCACUGGUCAUGGGGAGAGCAGGACUGGCUUGCCUCUGUGGCCUCUUCUGCCUCUGGAGGUGACAAUUCCUGAUUUGAGGCACUAGGGUGGAAGACUCAGGACUAUCCAGGACCAGGUUAAUAAACCGGCAGUCCAGAUUGCAGAAGGGCAGCAGCUGGGGGCUGGGGACAUGCCCAUGCCUGUGGGACAGAGUUCUUUUGCAUGCUUUGGCCUUUACGACUCUGUAUCCUUGACAAGUCACAGGCAUCUCUGGGUGAAAUGGGGACAAUAGUACCCAUACCUCCAAGGGUUAUGUGAGAAUUAAGUAAAAUAUGCAAAUAAAGUGCCUGGCAUACAGUAGGCACUGAGCAAACGGUAGCUCUUUUUUCCAGGCUGGGGCAAGGGAUGCAUAUAAAUGUCUGGAUCUGAAGUUUGAAAUUCCACCUGCUGGAGACAGUGAACACCCCAGUAGAUACCCCAAAUCACACAGAAGGACGGAUGACCAGCUGCCUUCUUCCCCCAGGGCAUGCCAUACACACUGGGCCUGAAGUGGGAGAAUCGGGACCCCAAAAAAACGGCUUGUGGAGCGGGGUUGCACAUGGGUGUAAAGUUCCCAGCUUGGCUGCCUGGGGAGGGGGAGCAUGUAAAUGUCUUUAGAGAUUUGAAGGGACCAGGAUCUGGACUGAUUUGCGUUGCCCAGGGGGCUGGGGCUGGGAGCCAAGGGGGUGCUGCCGGGAGGCCCAGGUUAGCUUGGGGUAUGGCAUUUCUAACAGUUGGCGCCUGCGGAAAAUGGCCUGGGGUUCCAGCUCUGGAAGGUUCCGAAUCUCAGUAUUCACGAGCGGCGCUGUCCGGAGCAGCCAGGGUUGUCCCUUGGUGGUCUCGGGCAGGUUCUCCGCGAUGCGCUUGCUGGGUCGCAGGUGAGAACCUCACGGUUCUCCAUUUCCGGAGAUCCAGCUCUGAGCAGGCAGAGGGUCGCUCCCGUCGCCUGCCCCUGCGGUAGCCAAGCGGGUGGCUGGAAGCGUGGCUAGCUGGCAGGUAAGGAGCUCCAGGUGAGACGGAACACGACCCCCAACCCCCUUAGCCGGUGCCCCACCCGAUUUCUCUCCUGCGUCCUGGGAGGGCAUGGUUGAGGCGCCACCGGUGCCCAGCAACCUCCCCAGGCUGUGGUUGUGACCUGAGGACGCGUGUGUCCCCGCCCUCAGGCCACCGCUACGCGACCCUGAGUGCACCUUCAAGAAGGCCGGGCACGUUUCUGGGCGGGCGUGGGGGGUGCCUGAUAUCUCCGCUCUAUUUUACAGUUACUCCCCUGCUGGUGCCUCCCUCCUUGGCGCGCUUCCCACCUGCGAUCGGCGCCCUCUUCGCAGUCACGAACUCGCCAGCAGCUAGCAGCACUGACUAGUAGGAGGGCCCGCCGGAGGAGAGGACAUGCUCUGGAGUCAGAAGACAGCGAAAAGAGAAGCAGAAGCCCCGGUGGCAAGAGUCUGAAGGAAGGAUGACUGUAGCCUGUGGAUUGUACUGCAGUAGGAAACUGUCCUAGCAAGGCUCCACUUUGCCCCAGCUUCAAGCUGGAAAGGAGGAGAACAUGAAACAUUGCUUGAAGACAAUGGCCGAGACAGCAGGUCCCACCCUGCACAGCCACCAGCAUCUCUCCCCUCAGCCCUGUCUCCUCUUCUGCAGUUGGGAUCUGCACAUUUAAGCCUGAAAUUGUCCUGUGAAGUGAAGUAUGAUCGGACAGCCUCUUUUCAGCUUUUAUGACAAUGGAGACAGAGGAAUUGUGGCUCUUGCCAAGGUCACAGGAUUGGAAUACAGAGCCAAGCCACCCCAGGACAUGCAAGAGCCUCAGAAGGGAAAAAAGCCCAGCAGGAAGGGAGAACAAGUAGCCUCUGUCCUGAAGUUGUAACAGCCAGGGGCCAGGAUGGAGGAGGAGGACCCCAUAAUCUGCCCAUCUGGGACUUGGCAGGGGACCUGGGAAAAUGUACCCCAACCCAUCCCUUAAGGGCCUUUGUCUUUGGCCCAUUGGCCUAGCAUCUACUUCUUCACCGUGUCUGUUCUUGUCACACCUAGUCAGGUCUGUUUGGGUCUGAGGUGCAUGGAACAUUCUGGGUAGGCCUCCAGCAAACGGAAGCUCUUCACCGUGUUUCCAGCCUGGGACCAAGGGCAGCAUACUGGCAAAGUUGCCAAAGCAAGGGACUCCAGCCUCUUAGGAGUUAAUGACUCCCUCUCCCCAGCUGUCCUCCCCUUGGUGCUCCUCUUCCUCCCUCCUCCUGCUCACAGCAGGCAGGGCCUAGACCCGGGAGCCAUGCUGCUGUGCUGUUGCCAGGGGAGCACGGAGGCAGAUCUGAGCUAUGCAGGGAAAAGGCCCAGCCUGUCAAAGUGUCUGAGAUGAACCGCCGCCGUCCCUGUGCAGCUGGGCUCAGACGUGUCUCAGCUCUUGUUCUGUGCCUGAGAAUGGCGAAACCCAGUGAGGUUCAAGGGCAAACUCGCUAUUCAUUAGUCAGGGGUUCUUGACGUCCCGUCUCUCCCAGGGAUGAGUUCCCCCCUCCUCUUUCUCCCCCUCCUAUGACACAUUCCUGGGUGCCUUUGGUGAGGACUGCACACCCUCCUCCUGCCUAGCCCCCUCUCCAAAGGCCCCUGAAUAAACUCCCCCCAAGGAGACCAGGCAGGGCAGAGACAAUGGCUGCAGGAAAUCAUUCAGGCGGGACAUGCUGGCCUGCCCUCCACCCAGUCCCCCUGUGGGCCCCACUCCCUUCUGAUUCAGGGCACCCUUGGGCCCCCAGCCUAUACAGGCCUGGACAGGAAGAAACCACUGGGAACCACCCUAAGGACAACAUGCUAGUCCAGUGCCAUUCUUCGCUGGCUCUGUGGGUGCCUUUGUGGCCUGUACCGACUGGCUGGCUAAUUUUGUGGUUUCUGUACCAUCACAUGCCUAUUUUAAGACACUCUCCAGCACUGUCGGUUAGGGAGUGUAAAUUUUGCAAUAUUUUCUGAAAUGUGGCAAUAUCAAAAUGUAAAAGGCACACAUACUUGGUCACAAACAAAUGGCACUAUUUACUCUGUGGGCAUAUUUGUAAAAGUUGCCAAAGAAUUAUAUACAAGGAUGUUCAUCAGAGCAUUUCUUUUGAAGAGUAAAGAAAUGGACAUGAACCUGUGGUCCGUUCAUACGGUGGAAUACCUAUGCAGCUGUAAAAAUCAGUGUGGUAGAUCUCCGUAUAUGAGUUGAUGUGGAAGGUUGGCCAGUUCACAUGAUAAGGUGAAUAGAAUAAGUUACAGAACAGGCUGUAGAGUAUGAUCUUAUUUGUAGAUGUUUAAAACUGAGUCAUAAGUAUGCUUAUAUACAGAUCGUUUCUGGAAGUAUGUACUGGAAGUCUACCUCUGGGGAGUGGGGAUGGGGGAGUGCACUCUUCUAUACUGUUAUAUUUUCUUUUCAUGCUCCUAAGGUACUUUUAUUGGAAGAUGUAAAGCGGUUCAAUGUAAUAGGCUUAACUUCUGUCAACUAAGUUGGCGUGGGUGCUUUAAGAGGGUGGUAGUGAUGUUGCUGGAGAAAGUAUCCCACAGUCACUGGUGGCUUCAGCCACGGGCCAUUUUGGGGCCUAAUAAUCACAUAUCAUCAUGGUUGCUAGUGUUAAUCGAAAACCUACUAAGUGCCAGGCUUACUGUCUCUGGGUCUUGCUUACGUGGAUGUCAUUUUUCCAGUUGCACCAAAUCGAAAGAGGUUAAUUGGUUUGUUGGAGUUCCUUUGUAGGUGAAGGGCAGAGCCAGGAGCUUGGCUAGGGACAGGGGAGGUGAGUGGGGGAUGGUGGAUAGGUCUUGGCUCCCAGUUUCCUUCUGGGCAGACAUUGCCCCUCUGCCCUGAGGACCUGCUUGUUUGGGGGAAGAGGCCUUUAGAGGCACCAGGGUCAUGCCAGGUGUUGGACAUGGUGAACUGGGAAGUGCUCCCAUCUGGCCACAGCGCAGAAGUAUCACCGUGCUGGGGGAUGGGGAACAGGGCUGUGAAUGGGCCUAUUUGCAUAAGCAGCAUGUGUCUGGAGAGAAAGACAUCACAGAGCAGAAGAGUGCGGGUGCCCAGGAGUGCACUUGCCACCCCUACUUCAUCCCUGAAAGAGUAAAUGGCCUGGAAGGUGUCUCUGAGAGGUAAUGCCGCACACCACCCUCCCUGGGGGCAGGGUCAGGCUACACCUGCCUUAGGUCGGGGGCUGCAGCAGCCUGAGAGCUCUCAGUAGGGCCUCAGUAGCCUGGGAGGGAGCAGGGGCAGGGGGCAGGGAAAGAGGCGUAAUGGGGCUGUCCAGAGGGGCCUGGGAAACCUGGUCCCUGAGGCCUGGGCACAGCUACAAUCACUUCAAAUUGGCUGUGGGGCCAGUGGACUGGGAAGGAAAAAAGCAAUAAGAGUGACCAAGUGCAGAAGGCUGUCAGGUCCCAGGUCACAUGCCUUAGUGCAGUGACUCCUCAUCAUUUUAUGGGGUGUGGGUGUCGUUGGUACACCCAUUUUACAGAUGAGGACACCGAGGCCCAGAAAAGUUAAGUUACAUGUCCUAAGUCACACAGCUUGUAAGUGCCAGAACUGAGAUCAAAACCAAGUCUCUUUGACUUUAAAGUCUGUACUCUGACCCCAAAGAGAUCCUGUUUGGCCACUUAUAGGAGGUCCCUAAAGCUGCAGACUCCCCUUGCCGGCACCCACAUAUAGAGACAUUAACCCUUCCCCUGCAGGGUCACCUCAAAUAGUCUUUUAGCUGGGCUUCUCCUGCAAUUCCACCUAAUGCCAUCCCCUGGGUUUUGCCCAAACCUGAACUGGGCAGUGGGGUGAGAGGAGGGGUUUACAGGGUUACAGAGCCUCAUACAGAUAGGAGCCCAUGGCUGCUGGUCAUCUGCAUUCCUGCAGGAUUGGCUGUUCCUUGGGGUCCUUGGCAGGAAAAUGAGGAUUGCUCCGAGGCCUGCUCCAGUACUUCCCAGAGGCUGGCCUGGUGUGGGGCUCUGGGAAGGCUGAGGCUGGAGAAGCGUAAGUAGGAGGGCAGAGAUGGCACUCAGGUAGCUUGAAUCACCAGGACCCUUCCAAGCCCCACAGGUUCUGAGGGAGUACUAGGGCCAGCUCUGGGAGAGGUCUCUUCCUAUGCUGUGAACCCCCUGCCUUUCUUGCAGCCUACAACGAAUAAAUUUUCUUUGCAAAGGCU